AAGAGCCGGAUGCGGAAAAGCCGCACGUCCGGUUCUGUGAGGGGCAUACCCUGCAAGGGGUAUGUCUACUUGAC
rnacentral:ncRNA from 1 species